rnacentral:misc_RNA from 3 species
AACGCACCUUGCGCUCCUUGGUAUUCCGAGGAGCAUGCUUGUUUGAGUGUCAUGGUAUUCUCAACCCUUCAGUGUUUUUUAUUAAGCACGGUUGGGCUUGGACUUGGAGGCUUUUGCUGGUGUUUAGAUUAAUUUAUUAGUCUUGGACGUCGGCUCCUCUGAAAUGCAUUAGCUUGAAUGAAACCAAGCAUGAUUCAGCGUGAUAAUUGUCUAGCUGCUUCGUCUCGGUGAAUAAUAUUCUAGCUUCAAACCGUCCCUUGGGACAACUUCUGAAAAUCUGACCUCAAAUCAAGUAGGACUACCCGCUGAACUUAA